ACACGAUCAACUCUAGUUAAGAGUUGGUAUUGACCUCAUAUACCGUAGUGUGUAUUUGGUUUGAAUGUAUCAAGUUGAUGAGCUUCCCAAUGUUGCUCAAUGUGUGCUAGCGAGACAGUCGUCCCGAUCUCACAUUCCUGCUUCAUUGCAGGCUCUAUAAACAACUUUUAUUAGUCUCAUAUCAU
rnacentral:misc_RNA from 1 species